GGCCUGUUGGUGAAAUGAUCAACACAUUGCCCUCUCAAGGCAACAUUCAUGGGUUUGAAUCCCAUACAGGUCACCA
rnacentral:tRNA from 1 species